AUUGAACGCUGGCGGCAGGCCUAACACAUGCAAGUCGAGCGGAUGAAGGGAGCUUGCUCCUGGAUUCAGCGGCGGACGGGUGAGUAAUGCCUAGGAAUCUGCCUGGUAGUGGGGGAUAACGUCCGGAAACGGGCGCUAAUACCGCAUACGUCCUGAGGGAGAAAGUGGGGGAUCUUCGGACCUCACGCUAUCAGAUGAGCCUAGGUCGGAUUAGCUAGUUGGUGGGGUAAAGGCCUACCAAGGCGACGAUCCGUAACUGGUCUGAGAGGAUGAUCAGUCACACUGGAACUGAGACACGGUCCAGACUCCUACGGGAGGCAGCAGUGGGGAAUAUUGGACAAUGGGCGAAAGCCUGAUACAGCCAUGCCGCGUGUGAAGAAGGUCUUCGGAUUGUAAAGCACUUUAAGUUGGGAGGAAGGGCAGUAAGUUAAUACCUUGCUGUUUUGACGUUACCAACAGAAUAAGCACCGGCUAACUUCGUG
rnacentral:rRNA from 1 species